UACGUAGGGUCCGAGCGUUGUCCGGAGUUACUGGGCGUAAAGCGCGCGCAGGCGGCGGUGCUGGCCCGGCGUGAAAGCCCCCGGCUCAACCGGGGGAGGGUCGUCGGGGACCGCACCGCUUGAGGGCGGUAGGGGCUGGUGGAAUGCCUGGUGUAGUGGUGAAAUGCGUAGAGAUCAGGCGGAACACCCGUGGCGAAGGCGGCCAGCUGGGCCGUCCCUGACGCUGAGGCGCGAAGGCGGUGGGGGAGCGAACGGGG
rnacentral:rRNA from 1 species